AUGUUUACCUCUUUUAAUGUUAACAUCUUUGUGAGAAUUCACUGGACCAAGCCCUGGUUUACUCACAAGUGUUCAGUAUUUAAGCCACAGUACCACAUAUGGUGGGGAAAAGACAGACUGUAAUAUUACAAUAGCUGGACAAGAACAACUGCACAAGGAUGAAGUCAUUGCAGGCGAUGAUACUGAUGCUAUUCAUUGCAUCAGUCUUAUCAAGACCAUUUUUGUUGCGCAGCAACGGCAGCGGUAAAAGGCCUUACAGAGGGUUUGAUUCAUCCGACUCUGUUCAGUCAAGCUCCAGUUCAGAAGAAAGUGAUUCAUCCAGGGAUGAGAGUGAUUCACAUUCUGAUUCAGAUGGGAGUUCUGAAUCAAAUGAGUCUAAAUCCAGUAAAUCUGAAUCUUCAGAGGAAAAUACCACAGCUGUACCAAGCACCAUUGCUCCACCAAUCAUAACAAAUCAACCUGUGACUCAUGUGCCAACAAACCCACCAAUCAUCCCAACAGAAAUCAUCACAAAGUGUGUUACUGUAGAUGUGACCAGUUCUAAGACUACUGAAAGAAGAGGAGAUAACUAAAUGUUACUUUUGAAUGGUCUUUUUAUGCACCUUUACAAAAUCUCAUGAAUGUGUAAUAUUAAUAUUGAUUGUUGCUUAUUGUUGCACCUUUUGCAGUGGAGGGAAGCAGCCAGUUGUUUAUUUUUGCUACAAAGUAUCCCCAUUGUAUUGAGUGAAGGGAGAAAGAGAACAUUUUAUUAAUAUUUUUUUAUUAUUAUUAAAUCUCAUUAAGUGUUAUACAGAAGGCAGUUAAACUGGUGUGUAAUGAAGGUCUUCAUACUAAUAUAAAUUCUCUGUUAUCUAUUUAAAAUUACUUCAUGAUUACGCUACGAAGAGUAUAAGAAAUAUGAAAACGCCUAUGUUAUACCAAUGUAACUGUCCACUUUUUCCUAUCAGUCUAAUUCAACAAUGCACGUAUCUAGGCUAUAUGUAAAACAUAUAUAUGAAUAUAAAUGGAAAGGUUCAAUAAAUUGUAAUAAUUCA